rnacentral:rRNA from 1 species
GGUGGUAAUGCCGGAUGUUCCACAUGAUCGCAUGUGAUUGUGGGAAAGAUUCUAUCGGCGUGGGAUGGGGUCGCGUCCUAUCAGCUUGUUGGUGAGGUAACGGCUCACCAAGGCUUCGACGGGUAGCCGGCCUGAGAGGGCGACCGGCCACAUUGGGACUGAGAUACGGCCCAGACUCCUACGGGAGGCAGCAGUGGGGAAUAUUGCACAAUGGGCGCAAGCCUGAUGCAGCGACGCCGCGUGAGGGAUGGAGGCCUUCGGGUUGUAAACCUCUUUUGUUUGGGAGCAAGCCUUCGGGUGAGUGUACCUUUCGAAUAAGCGCCGGCUAACUACGUGCCAGCAGCCGCGGUAAUACGUAGGGCGCAAGCGUUAUCCGGAUUUAUUGGGCGUAAAGGGCUCGUAGGCGGCUCGUCGCGUCCGGUGUGAAAGUCCAUCGCUUAACGGUGGAUCUGCGCCGGGUACGGGCGGGCUGGAGUGCGGUAGGGGAGACUGGAAUUCCCGGUGUAACGGUGGAAUGUGUAGAUAUCGGAAAGAACACC